CCUACGGGCGGCAGCAGUGAGGAAUAUUGGUCAAUGGACGAGAGUCUGAACCAGCCAAGUAGCGUGAAGGAUGACUGCCCUAUGGGUUGUAAACUUCUUUUAUAUGGGAAUAAAAUGUUCCACGUGUGGGAUUUUGUAUGUACCAUAUGAAUAAGGAUCGGCUAACUCCGUGCCAGCAGCCGCGGUAAUACGGAGGAUCCGAGCGUUAACCGGAUUUAUUGGGGUUAAAGGGAGCGUAGGUGGAUUGUUAAGUCAGUUGUGAAAGUUUGCGGCUCAACCGUAAAAUUGCAGUUGAAACUGGCAGUCUUGAGUACAGUAGAGGUGGGCGGAAUGCGUGGUGUAGCGGUGAAAUGCUUAGAUAUCACGAAGAACUCCGAUUGCGAAGGCAGUUCACUGGACUGCAACUGACACUGAGGCUCGAAAGUGUGGGUAUCAAACAGGAUUAGAUACCCGGGUAGUC
rnacentral:rRNA from 1 species